rnacentral:rRNA from 1 species
UGGGGAAUAUUGGACAAUGGGCGAAAGCCUGAUCCAGCCAUGCCGCGUGUGUGAAGAAGGUCUUCGGAUUGUAAAGCACUUUAAGUUGGGAGGAAGGGCAGUAAGUUAUACCUUGCUGUUUUGACGUUACCGACAGAAUAAGCACCGGCUAACUCUGUGCC